AUACCAGAGAAACGGAGUUAUACUCCAGA
rnacentral:sRNA from 1 species